UUUCCUUCCCUGAGCUUUAGGACGGGUCCCGCCCGGGGCUUGGAAGCCCACAACCCUGCGGCAGCAAAAGGCAAAGGGCGGGAGGAGAGCUACAAAGGAGGCCGGUGGCCGCAGCCAGAGUCAGCCCCCAGCCGUGGGUAACCUUGGAGGCGCCCUCGACUUGGUCUCGGCCAGCAAGUGAGCAAAGGUUAUCCCAGCUACCACAGCACCUGCAGAAGCACAAGUGGAACUCACACAUUUUGCUUCCCGUGUUCUAAAAUGGAUUCUGAGCCAUCCAGAGAAAUCCGCACAGAGGGGAACCUGAGAACAGAGGUGUACAUAUUAAAAAUUACACAGGUGAGCUCCUUUUCACUGAUGAUCCAGAGAGGAUGUGAGUUAAAAUCUUAGAACCGAAAGCACCGAACAGCUCCUACUUCUGCCUGAUUCUCUUGAAAGACCUUGUAGCAUAAUCUAAGGUCAGCAAAUGAAGUUUCUGGCUACCAACAUAAAAGAACUUUAAGAAUCAGUUCCCUGUAGGGAAAAAUAACAUCUCAAAAUAAAAGGAUGGAAAUAGCACACAUUUUUUUAAGCAGAAAAUAUUAUACAGAGGAUCAAGCAACAGAAUAUACUGAAGAAAAAUAAGAUCAAAGCAUUGGACAUAAAAAACAACCUCCAGAAUGACAAUGAUAUUAAAUCAGCUAACAGAAAUGUCACCUCUCACAAAUUCACAAAAUUCAUUUACUGAUUUGAAGAAAAGGAUUUCCAAGAAAAACUAUUUAAAUCUCCUUCCUUUAGAUCAAAAGAUUACUGGAAAGCAACAUGAAUAUCCGGAAAAAAAAAAAUCCAGUGGUCUCUGUGUGGGUCUCUGACAGCAAUUUUUUAAAGAUUUCUGAGAUUGUUUCAAUGUAAUUGUGCAUAUAUUAGCAUUUUGAAAAGGUUCUCCAUAAAACCUUGGAUUAUACAGAAUUGUGUCAUCAUUUGCAGACUAAUAAAUUAUGUACACAUAAGAGACAUA
rnacentral:lncRNA from 1 species